rnacentral:rRNA from 1 species
GACGAACGCUGGCGGCGUGCCUAAUACAUGCAAGUAGAACGCUGAAGAGAGGAGCUUACUCUUCUUGGAUGAGUUGCGAACGGGUGAGUAACGCGUAGGUAACCUGCCUUGUAGCGGGGGAUAACUAUUGGAAACGAUAGCUAAUACCGCAUAACAAUGGAUGACACAUGUCAUUUAUUUGAAAGGGGCAAUUGCUCCACUACAAGAUGGACCUGCGUUGUAUUAGCUAGUAGGUGAGGUAAUGGCUCACCUAGGCGUCGAUACAUAGCCGACCUGAGAGGGUGAUCGGCCACACUGGGACUGAGACACGGCCCAGACUCCUACGGGAGGCAGCAGUAGGGAAUCUUCGGCAAUGGGGGCAACCCUGACCGAGCAACGCCGCGUGAGUGAAGAAGGUUUUCGGAUCGUAAAGCUCUGUUGUAAGUCAAGAACGGGUGUGAGAGUGGAAAGUUCACACUGUGACGGUAGCUUACCAGAAAGGGACGGCUAACUACGUG